GGUCAGGGUAGCUACCGGGCAUGGAUGCUGCCAGGCACCCGAGGAAAAGCCUCCAGUCCACAACAAGGACAGAGGCUAGGACAGCCAGGAUGUAGGAAUGAACAAUCCAGAAGGCUAACAUCAGGUAAGUAAAAGCAAGGUAAGUGGAAGAAGGAGGAAUGUAAUGAAAGCCAAAGAAAAAGAGGAGAAAAGCGGAGACAAACAUUUAGAACUGAUGAAAAUAAUGCAAAGGCAUGGUCUGGAAAGAAAAAGAACCAACCAAAAAGAAAAAUCAGCAGUAGAAAGCAAAGCCAACCGAGCAGGAAACAAAAGCCAAAAGGAAAAGGAAAAGAGCCAAGUAAACCGGGGAGAAAAGGACAAACAAAGAGCAAAGGGGUGGACUGCAAAUAUAUGGCAAAGCAAAAAAUUCAAAGCAACACAGUGAGACAAUAUAAAAGCUAGCAAAACCUAAGGGGAGAACAUGGAAAAAAAAAACAAACAAAACCA